ensembl:ncRNA asRNA:CR44896 antisense RNA:CR44896
CAGGAUGGGGCUCUCGCUGAGCGGCUUUACCAGCGACUGCCAAUUGGGCGUGAAAAGGCUGAGCACCGGCGUCGAUGUCUGCGGAGGACACAAGGAGAAAACGGAUAAGCUUACUUACAUGAUAGUCGGAGUCCAGGCUGUGACCGUGGGGCGUGGUAGGCUUGCACUUGACCGUGGGCGUACCCGGCGCCGUGGACGGUGGAGCUGAGCAUGAUACCCCAGCAGCUGAUCCUCCGGAACCAGCUCCAUUAGGCGCCGCACCAGGCACCUGGUCCGAUUGGCUGAUGUAGGAAGUCUUGAGGUUCAUCUGACUGAAGGCAUGAGCUCCGGGCAUGGUCAUGGAGUGCUGAAGCCUAGGAGUUCCGCUCCUGGGCCGAUCAAGCAAGGCCAACUCGUACAACUCGUCGGCCAGGUGAUGUUCCGG